AUAUUAAUAAGCGGAGGAAAAGAAACUAACAAGGAUUCCCAUAGUAACGGCGAGUGAACCGGGAAGAGCGCAAAUUUGAAAUCGGAAGUAAUUAACUUUAUUUCGAGUUGUAAUUUAGGAAAUAAUAUUACGGGCAUUUGCUAAGAUUAAAAUCAUUUGGAAUAAUCAUGCCACAGAGGGUGAUAGCCCCGUUUUAAUACUUAUAAAGCGGUUAAUGUCAAUACGUAUUAUUAUUUUAAGAGUCGG
rnacentral:rRNA from 1 species